UAAUUAGGUGCCUUACAAUGUUAACAACUUGAAAUCACCAUAUGAGUUGUUGUUUGGUACAAAGCCUAAUAUUAAGCAUUUUUGAGUUUUUGGUUCUAUAUGUUAUGUUCACAUACUUUCAACUUAAAGGAGGAAAUUGGAUGCAAAGGCUGAAAAGUGUAUUUUUAUUGGCUAUGAUGAUAGAAAGAAGGGUUAGAAAUGCAUUGACCUAAAACAAAAAAGUGUGUAGUGUCUAGAGAUGUUGUAUUUGAUGAAAUCUCUUCUUAUCAUUCAUUACAAGAUAUUGACAUUUAUGAUGGUCACGAAAAUAAGGAAGCUUAUUGUUAUUCCAAAGAAGAGGUGUUAUUGCCAAUUUCAUCAAAUGACUCUAAUGCUAAUGGGUCCUCCUCUAUCUUAUUCUCCAUUGAUCCAAGAGCAAGUUGGCAAGGAGAAAGGUCAAAUAGAACAUGAUCAACCCCAUUAAGAAGAACAAAUGGAUACUAUAGAUAUUUCAUCUCUACCAUCUCUUAGAAAAUCAAAAAGAAAAAUUGUGCAACCAGCUCCAAACAGGGACAAUAAUUUUGUUAGCAUGGUUUCUUAUUUUUUUGCUGGUCCUAUUGAUGAAAAUGAACCUACUUGUUUUAAUGAUGCCAAAGAUUUCAAAGAAUGGAAAGAUGCUAUGGAUGAAGAAAUGGGAGCACUUUACAAAAAUAAAACUUGGGAUUUUAUAUCUUAGCCACAAAAUGUGUGCUUAUGAUGUGCAAAUGGAUCUAUAAAAUCAAAAGAAUAGCAAAUGGAAGUGUGGAAUGUUACAAAGCAAGGCUAGUUGCUAUGGUUUUUCCACAAAAAUAUGGAGAAGAAUAUAAAGAAA
rnacentral:misc_RNA from 1 species